rnacentral:lncRNA from 1 species
CCGACUUGGAUCACUUUCUCUUUGCCCACCACUUUCAUGGCGACAUUCUUCCCUGUUUGAAGGUUCUUCGCAUGGUAGACUUUGGCGAAGGUUCCAUGACCCAACAUACGGCCAAGCUCGUAUUUUCCAUGGAGUAAAGAUGGGUUUUCGGUUUUAGCUUUGUCCGCCAUUUUUGAACCGUAAAAGCUCGAGAAAUUAAAAAGAAAAAUAAGAAAAGAAACGGAUACCCUUUGAUCUGAAGUACUGUAUAUUUACAAUAUAAGUGAGAAAUAUAUGUAUAUUUAAAACUGAAAGCCUUCAAACUGAAUCACCCGUCUUCGACGUGUUUUCGGUGACAAUUUCGGCCGCCGAUGGAGCGCUUACGGUGGUAACAAAGCUCAGGCCUUGCCAACGAUGAACGUCUCAUCUCUCUGCAUUCCCCAAGGGGAUUUUUACACUUGUAAAAUUAUAAUG